AAAACCCUCGGUUUUACUACAGAAAACAGAUGAACUAUCUUAAGAGAGAGGAGAGAGGAAUUGUUGAAAUGUCUGCUUUAUGUUGGAAUGAUGCAAAAUAGAUUUUAAAAAUCGAAUUGUGUCUUAAAUAUUUUUUAAAAUAUAAUUUACAUUUAUCUGCAUGGUACAUGUACUUAAAGAGACUUGGACGUGAUUUUAGAUCAACAAUUUUAUUUUUAUUUUUAUGUAUAAAAGGGUUUACUGGUGCAUUUUAAAUGAUUGACCAAAAUAUAGAAUGUUAAGUUAAAUUACAAGCGAGAUACAGAUGUAAGAAUUGAUUGUUAUUUAAACAAAGCUCGAGUCUCAUAGUUGUUUACGAAAAAUGUAAUGUUGAGAAUUGCCAUUUCUUAGACAAAAUGACAUGUAAAAACAAUUUAACUAAUUCAAUAUCUUUAUAAAAUACUUUUAUCAACAUAAGAAAGAUGCAUUUGAUUGAAAUUUACACCAAUAUAACACACAUGUAAAAAUGACAAUAUUUGAGCUUUGUUUACAAAACAAAGAAUUAGGAACUCUGUAUCUUGCUUAUAACUUGAUAUUUGACUUGAUAAUUUUGACAUAGCAUUUGUGAAAUUUAUGUCUUGUACUCGUACUAAUGUAAAAAAAAAUCUGAACAAAAUUAUGUUAUUUUAUUAUCAAAAUAUACAGUCUGAUAUAAUAGUCUGUCUUCCAUAAUUCUACUUCAUCCUUUUUUCAUUGUUUAUAUUGUAUAUUUAUACUUAUUCAAUAUUUAUUUACUAAUUAUUUUUGCAUUUAUAAAAUGCACCUCUGACUUGUGAACUGUAUAUAUAAUGACUGACCUCAUGUACCAUUUCAUGGUUUGAGUGAAUAAACUGAACUGAAUUG
rnacentral:misc_RNA from 1 species